rnacentral:rRNA from 1 species
GACGAACGCUGGCGGCGUGCCUAAUACAUGCAAGUUGAGCGCUGAAGGUUGGUACUUGUACCGACUGGCUGAGCAGCGAACGGGUGAGUAACGCGUGGGGAAUCUGCCUUUGAGCGGGGGACAACAUUUGGAAACGAAUGCUAAUACCGCAUAAAAACUUUAAACACAAGUUUUAAGUUUGAAAGAUGCAAUUGCAUCACUCAAAGAUGAUCCCGCGUUGUAUUAGCUAGUUGGUGAGGUAAAGGCUCACCAAGGCGAUGAUACAUAGCCGACCUGAGAGGGGGAUCGGCCACAUUGGGACUGAGACACGGCCCAAACUCCUACGGGAGGCAGCAGUAGGGAAACUUCGGCAAUGGACGAAAGUCUGACCGAGCAACGCCGCGUGAGUGAAGAAGGGUUUCGGAUCGUAAAACUCUGUUGGUAGAGAAGAACGUUGGUGAGAGUGGAAAGCUCAUCAAGUGACGGUAACUACCCAGAAAGGGACGGCUAACUACGUG